AAAUUGAAGAGUUUGAUCAUGGCUCAGAUUGAACGCUGGCGGCAGGCCUAACACAUGCAAGUCGAGCGGUAACACAGAGAGCUUGCUCUCGGGUGACGAGCGGCGGACGGGUGAGUAAUGUCUGGGAAACUGCCUGAUGGAGGGGGAUAACUACUGGAAACGGUAGCUAA
rnacentral:rRNA from 1 species